rnacentral:rRNA from 1 species
UACGGGGGGGAGCAAGCGUUGUUCGGAUUUACUGGGCGUAAAGGGCGCGUAGGCGGUCGUGACAAGUCACUUGUGAAAUCUCCGGGCUUAACUCGGAACGGUCAAGUGAUACUGUCGGGACUAGAGUACAGAAGGGGGCAACUGGAAUUCUCGGUGUAGCGGUGAAAUGCGUAGAUAUCGAGAGGAACACCUGCGGCGAAGGCGGGUUGCUGGGCUGAUACUGACGCUGGAGGCGCGAAAGCUAGGGGAGCAAACGGG